rnacentral:rRNA from 2 species
GCUCAGAACGAACGCUGGCGGCAGGCUUAACACAUGCAAGUCGAACGCCCCGCAAGGGGAGUGGCAGACGGGUGAGUAACGCGUGGGAAUCUACCGUGCCCUGCGGAAUAGCUCCGGGAAACUGGAAUUAAUACCGCAUACGCCCUACGGGGGAAAGAUUUAUCGGGGUAUGAUGAGCCCGCGUUGGAUUAGCUAGUUGGUGGGGUAAAGGCCUACCAAGGCGACGAUCCAUAGCUGGUCUGAGAGGAUGAUCAGCCACAUUGGGACUGAGACACGGCCCAAACUCCUACGGGAGGCAGCAGUGGGGAAUAUUGGACAAUGGGCGCAAGCCUGAUCCAGCCAUGCCGCGUGAGUGAUGAAGGCCUUAGGGUUGUAAAGCUCUUUCACCGGAGAAGAUAAUGACGGU